rnacentral:rRNA from 1 species
UGGCGACACCGCGCGGAACCGAAGCCGUUCUCAGUUCGGAUCGGAGUCUGCAACCCGACUCCGUGAAGCUGGAUUCGCUAGUAAUCGCGCAUCAGCCAUGGCGCGGUGAAUACGUUCCCGGGCCUUGUACACACCGCCCGUCAAGCCAUGGGAGCCGGGGGUGCUUGAAGUGCGUCGCCGCAAGGCGCGCCCUAGAGCAAAACCGGUGACUGGGGCUAAGUCGUAACAAGGUAUC